CCCAUUAGCAUCCAUUAAUGUAAACUUUCCCACCGUGGUCACCAAUAGAAUGAAUAAUAAUUGGGUACUAAUUCUAUCACUUCCACUCCUGCUAUUUUCCAUUACUUCUGAGGUGAAACAGAUGACAGAUGAAGGCCAAUUUAACUGCCCUGAUGAACAGAGAUAUCUGCUGCCAUCAGAGCAGAAACUGGAUUAAAAAGGGAUAAAACUGUAAUUGAAUCCCCAUACCACUUGGGCUGCUUCUUGGUGAAUAAUAGCACAUUGACAACACCGUGGCUUUAUCACAGCCAAGCUUCACCUUGGAAAGCUGUGCAAGAUUUGAAACUGGCAGCCAAGUCCUGUCAAUUCUAUUUCCACAACGUCUCAGCCUCAUCACCUGUUCUCCUCUCAUAGGGCCACCAUGCUAGGUCAAGCCCUUAUUACCUCUCUUGACUGGACUAUUCUUUUUUUUUAAACAUUUUUAUUAAAACCCUUACCUGCUGUCUUAAAAAUUGAUAUCAAGAAUUGAUUCUGAGGCAGAAGAGCAGUAAAGGCUAGGCAAUGGGGGUUAAGUGACUUGUAGGGUCACACAGCUAGGGAGUUUCAGAAACUAGAUUUGAACCCAGAACCUUCUGUCUUCAGGCCUGGCUCUCUAUCCAUUGAGUUACAUAGUUGCUCCAUUGACCUAAUAUUCUAGUAUCCUUCUAAUUAAUCUCUUAGCUUUUUCCUUUCUUUUCUUACUAGUCUUUUUUCCCACAGAACAACAGAGUCAACUAGGUAGCAUGGUGGAUGAGAAUUGGCACUGGAACAAGGAAGGCCUGAGUUAAAAUCUGACCUUAGAAAUGUACUACUUGUAUGAACCUGGGAUCUCAAGCCAUUGCAUUCAAAGUUUCUCCUGGCUCUACCAUUCAUUCCCAAAGAAGUCAGCGGAAACCAGGAACAGGUAGAAGCUUUAAUAAGUUGAUGAUUUUUCCUUUCAUGUCUCGUUCAUUUCUGAAGACACCCUGUACCACUACCCUACCUCAUAAACCUCCCUUGUAACA
rnacentral:lncRNA from 1 species